rnacentral:rRNA from 1 species
UACGUAGGCGGAAAAUUAAGUCAGUAGUGAAAUCCUGCAGCUUAACUGUAGAACUGUUAUUGAUACUGGUUUUCUUGAAUAUAGUUGAGGUAGGCGGAAUGUGUAAUGUAGCGGUGAAAUGCUUAGAUAUUACACAGAACACCGAUUGCGAAGGCAGCUUACUAAGCUAUGAUUGACGCUGGGGUACGAAAGCGUGGGGAGCGAACAGGAUUAGAUACCCUGGUAGUC